GACUGCAUUCAGACCACCAUCUAGUCUGCUGUGAUUUGUUCAGAUCUUACAAGCUAAGGAGGGAUAGGGACGGGUUGGUACUUGAAUGGGAAACCUCCAAGGAACGUCUAGCUGCUGCUGCUG
rnacentral:rRNA from 1 species